GGAUCUCUUGGUUCUGGCAUCGAUGAAGAACGCAGCGAAAUGCGAUAAGUAGUGUGAAUUGCAGAAUUCAGCGAAUCAUCGAAUCUUUAAACGCACAUUGCGCCCCUUGGUAUUCCAUGGGGCAUGCCUGUUCGAGCGUCAUUUGUACCCUCAAGCUAUGCUUGGUGUUGGGUGUUUGUCCUAUCCAUUGCGACUGGACUCGCCUUAAAGAUAUUGGCAGCCGGCAUUUUGGCCUUGGAGCGCAGCACAAUUUGCGAGUCCAAGCCGGAAUACUGACGUCCAGAUAAGCUUUUUACCACGUCUGACCUCGGAUCAGGUAGGGAUACCCGCUGAACUUAAGCAUAUCAAUAAGCGGAGGA
rnacentral:rRNA from 1 species